rnacentral:lncRNA from 1 species
CCCGCCGCCUCUGCUCCCCGCGGCCCGGGACCCCUCACACGCCUCCUCGGCAGGAGGGAGGCCGGCAGCAAGUCUCAGAAACUCCUUUUUCGUAGUGCCAGGGUGCAGGGAGUGAUCCUCCUCCCUACCUCUCCCAUUAUGGUAGAAAAAAACUCUGUGUCCUGGCUACAUCAAAAUCUGUUGGGGUGGAUCUUGGACUCAGCACCCAGGGAUUCUGAUAAGGUGAUCUGGAGCUGAAGCCACAAU